UGGCCUACGGGACGCAGCAGUGGGGAAUAUUGCACAAUGGGGGAAACCCUGAUGCAGCGACGCCGCGUGAAGGAUGAAGUAUUUCGGUAUGUAAACUUCUAUCAGCAGGGAAGAAAAUGACGGUACCUGACUAAGAAGCCCCGGCUAACUACGUGCCAGCAGCCGCGGUAAUACGUAGGGGGCAAGCGUUAUCCGGAUUUACUGGGUGUAAAGGGAGCGCAGGCGGUGCGGCAAGUCUGAUGUGAAAGCCCGGGGCUCAACCCCGGGACUGCAUUGGAAACUACCGAACUAGAGUGUCGGAGAGG
rnacentral:rRNA from 1 species